UGGGGAAUAUUGGGCAAUGGGCGAAAGCCUGACCCAGCAACGCCGCGUGAGGGAAGAAGGUUUUCGGAUUGUAAACCUCUGUCCUUGGGGACGAAAAAAAUGACGGUACCCAAGGAGGAAGCCCCGGCUAACUACGUGCCAGCAGCCGCGGUAAUACGUAGGGGGCGAGCGUUGUCCGGAAUUACUGGGCGUAAAGGGUGCGUAGGCGGUUGUCUAAGUCAGAUGUGAAAUCCCCGGGCUCAACUCGGGUGGUGCAUUUGAAACUGGGUGACUAGAGUGCAGGAGAGGGAAGCGGAAUUCCUAGUGUAGCGGUGAAAUGCGUAGAUAUUAGGAGGAACACCAGUGGCGAAGGCGGCUUUCUGGACUGUAACUGACGCUGAGGCACGAAAGCGUGGGGAGCAAACAG
rnacentral:rRNA from 1 species